rnacentral:rRNA from 1 species
ACGCUGGCGGCAGGCUUAACACAUGCAAGUCGAACGGUAACAGGGAUUAGCUUGCUAAUUUGCUGACGAGUGGCGGACGGGUGAGUAAUGCUUGGGAAUCUGGCUUAUGGAGGGGGAUAACUACGGGAAACUGUAGCUAAUACCGCGUAAAAUCUUAGGAUUAAAGGGUGGGACUUUCGAGCCACCUGCCAUAAGAUGAGCCCAAGUGGGAUUAGGUAGUUGGUUAGGUAAAGGCUGACCAAGCCGACGAUCUCUAGCUGGUCUGAGAGGAUGACCAGCCACACUGGAACUGAGACACGGUCCAGACUCCUACGGGAGGCAGCAGUGGGGAAUAUUGCACAAUGGGGGGAACCCUGAUGCAGCCAUGCCGCGUGAAUGAAGAAGGCCUUCGGGUUGUAAAGUUCUUUCGGUGACGAGGAGGGUUGAUAGGUUAAUAGCCUAUCAAAUUGACGUUAAUCACAGAAGAAGCACCGGCUAACUCCGUGCCAGCAGCCGCGGUAAUACGGGGGGUGCGAGCGUUAAUCGGAAUAACUGGGCGUAAAGGGCACGCAGGCGGUGACUUAAGUGAGAUGUGAAAGCCCCGAGCUUAACUUGGGAAUUGCAUUUCAUACUGGGUCGCUAGAGUACUUUAGGGAGGGGUAGAAUUCCACGUGUAGCGGUGAAAUGCGUAGAGAUGUGGAGGAAUACCGAAGGCGAAGGCAGCCCCUUGGGAAUGUACUGACGCUCAUGUGCGAAAGCGUGGGGAGCAAACAGGAUUAGAUACCCUGGUAGUCCACGCUGUAAACGAUGUCGAUUUGGGGAUUGGGCUUUGAGCUUGGUGCCCGUAGCUAACGUGAUAAAUCGACCGCCUGGGGAGUACGGCCGCAAGGUUAAAACUCAAAUGAAUUGACGGGGGCCCGCACAAGCGGU